AGCGAACGCUGGCGGCAGGCCUAACACAUGCAAGUCGAACGAACCUUUCGGGGUUAGUGGCGGACGGGUGAGUAACACGUGGGAACGUGCCUUUAGGUUCGGAAUAACUCAGGGACACUUGUGCUAAUACCGAAUGUGCCCUUCGGGGGAAAGAUUUAUCGCCUUUAGAGCGGCCCGCGUCUGAUUAGCUAGUUGGUUGAGGUAAUGGCUCACCAAGGCGACGAUCAGUAGCUGGUCUGAGAGGAUGAUCAGCCACAUUGGGACUGAGACACGGCCCAAACUCCUACGGGAGGCAGCAGUGGGGAAUCUUGCGCAAUGGGCGAAAGCCUGACGCAGCCAUGCCGCGUGAAUGAUGAAGGUCUUAGGAUAGUAAAAUUCUUUCACCGGGGACGAUAAUGACGGUACCCGGAGAAGAAGCCCCGGCUAACUUCGUG
rnacentral:rRNA from 1 species